CCUACGGGGGGCAGCAGUGGGGAAUAUUGGACAAUGGGCGAAAGCCUGAUCCAGCCAUGCCGCGUGUGUGAAGAAGGCCUUCGGGUUGUAAAGCACUUUCAGUGGGGAAGAAAGCCUGGGGGCUAAUACCCUCGAGGAAGGACAUCACCCACAGAAGAAGCACCGGCUAACUCCGUGCCAGCAGCCGCGGUAAUACGGAGGGUGCGAGCGUUAAUCGGAAUUACUGGGCGUAAAGCGCGCGUAGGCGGUCUGAUAAGCCGGUUGUGAAAGCCCCGGGCUCAACCUGGGAACGGCAUCCGGAACUGUCAGGCUAGAGUGCAGGAGAGGAAGGUAGAAUUCCCGGUGUAGCGGUGAAAUGCGUAGAGAUCGGGAGGAAUACCAGUGGCGAAGGCGGCCUUCUGGACUGACACUGACGCUGAGGUGCGAAAGCGUGGGUAGCAAACAGGAUUAGAUACCCGGGUAGUC
rnacentral:rRNA from 1 species